GGCAGCUUCUGCUAGUGUUUAGGUACUAGUGCAGUGUAGAACCCUUUUCUCAGGCAAAACCUAACAUCUGACCGCACCCUUUUUGCUAUUAAAAAAAAAAAAAAGCUUCUAUUUUUUUCCUCCUGUCGUUAAGAUAAAUUCUCCAGUAGACAACCUCUCCCACUAAUUGUGUAUUAGCAACGUAUUUUAUCUUGAGAGCUUGUACACUGGGCUCUCAACGUGGUGUGGAAGGUAGCCUGUUACAGUGCUGGAUUCAUAAAAGGGCCUUUAUGGUUUGUGAAAGAAUAUCUGUGUGCUUAGGGAGGAAACUUUUUGAUCUGCAGAAAAGCCAGAAGACAUCUAGGACAUCCAUAAAAAUUCAUCAGAGAGCAUUUUACUACUGAGCUGCAAAGAUGACAAGAGCACCUCAAAGGCAGCAGCCUCAAGGAGCAGCCAUGGCCCCAGACUUGUCGCACGGAUGCAGAAAACUUAAUGGAGGAGGCUGAGGUUGUGGAAAAUGCACUAGAAUCAACAAACAUGGGGACUAAUUCAACUCGGAUAUCAUGUCUUCAGAGAAGUUUCUCCUGCCCUCCUCUCCCUGUAGAAUUAAGUAUUCUUCCACUGUGCCACCCUCUAACUUGUGCUCAUAUCUUCCUCUAUUGUAGUUAUGUGUUCACAUCCCUGUUGUUUUUGUACCGGCUUCUCCCAAAGGGAGACAUUUAGUCUUAUUCUUCUUGGUAACUUUAGCACAGACCUGGCAGAUUGUUGACACUCAACAAAUGUUUAUUGACUCAAAUGCAUUCAGUUGAACAUUGACCUUUGAUCAACUCUGGGAAAAGUCUGCAAAGCUAGUUAGGACAUUCAGAAAUUCAUUUCAUUUCAAUCCUAACUAAAUAAAUUAUUGAAGUCUCAGAA
rnacentral:lncRNA from 1 species